UCUGGGACGUUCCCGCGGUGGCGACGGCGGCGGCGGCGGUGGCGGCAGCGGAAACGAGGACGUCGGGGACGGCGGCGGCGCUCCGGCCGGCCGCGCUGCGCAUGCUGCAGGGUAAUUAAGAAGCAGGGCCGGACGCUCCGGGACGUGGCUGGGCUGGAGUCCCGGGAUACCCGCCCGCGCCCGCGCCCGCGCCGCCCCGCAGAAGCCGCACUUGAGAGAAACAUCCGCAUGUAGAGGAAUUAUUCUUCUGAUAAAAGAGUCACAGGAAAAAUUGUUCUCACCUAUAAAAGACUCCCAGAGCAGAGACUCUAAGGACAGCAACACAGGAAGACAAGACUAUCAUCAAUUGAAAACGUCCUCAUCAUAUGUUCUCUUCAUUCCUUUACCAAACUUAAGAUCCUCAGAAAGGUGGACAGGGAACAAUGAGGAUAUUCAGGAAAGGGAGCAAAAACUGCUAUGAUGAUGGAAGCAACAACAACCAUGUGUUACUACUGGCUCUUCUCCAUCCCCAAAAUGAAUUUAGUCUUACUGACUGUACUUUCUUAUCUUGUUAGUUAAGGUAGCUAGUCUUGAUAAAUCGAAGACCUGAGAGUUAAUUCUGGCCAAGUGUUUGACUUGCACAACACCAAACAUUUCCCUUAAAUAUUACUCUAAAAUUCAUUUCUUCAUCUGAUACUAGUAUGUCUGGUAAUUUUACAAGUGAUGGAUAAGGGCUGAGAAAUGGGGCAGGGAAUAACUAAGACAAAAGAGAAAAACAUGCUUGUAAAGUGACUAGAGCCAUGUAAUUCUGAAUAUUAUCCACCUUCUUAUCCCCUAAGAAAGCCUGUGGAAGAAGAAAGGAAGAAGAAUCAAAUCUGAAACUCAUGAAAUACAUCCUUAAUAAAGCCCUUAAAUCCCAUUACUCUUAAACGUCUGGAAUUGACUUGAAGUACUGACAACUGUAGAGCACCAUCUAGUUUUGGCCUCUAGAACUGCAACCAAGUCUUCUGAUUCUCAGUGGUAGGUGAAGUUAUUUCCCAGUGGGGAGAGGAAAACUUACUUUUUAGUGUUUUUAGUUUAUUUAUUAAAAUUCUAAGUUGGCUUUUUUUCUGAUUCCCUCGGAAAAUAAGCACGCUUUGCGACGGCUGUUGUUCAUUUGACACAUUGGAGUUUCUUAUGGCAAAUAAAUUAUUCAUAGAUAAAUAUGAAAUAUAAAACAGAUCAUAAUAGCAAAGGUUUAUGUACAUUUAAACACAAUGAUGUCAGUGCUUUCAUUAUGAACUUCUUUCUCUGGAGCUUAUAAAUCAGCAGCAUAAAUUCCAAGCAAGUGUUAUCUUGGUGUAUAAUGAACUCCAAUGUAUUUUAGAAACAAUCUAAUGUUAAUAAAAUCAGUAUUUUAUAAAAAGAACAAGAUCCCACUUGACAGUUUUAAUGUCAAAAGUAUCUUUUAGUCUUGAAUGGAAAAUUAGGUUUUCAUUUUCUGAAAAUAUUUUAAAACAAAAAGUUUUUUGCCAUCUUCAUUUUUUCUUGGCUUAGAGAUUACAAUAUACAUUUCAGCUAAUUGUUUAUGCUGCCCUUUUUGGUCAAUUUAAAUAUUCUUCCAGUUAUGUUUAUAGUUCAUGUGUAGCUAUUUAGAAAUAAUUAAAAGAAAGGGAAUGAAAUUUUACAAGAGUUUUUAAAAGAAUGAGAACACAGAUUGAUUUAUUUAGCUUGAAUUUUGUUUGUAAAAAGGCAUCCUUCAUGCUUGACAACUCACCAUAGUAUUCAUGUUCUAUUCCUACAGAGGCUUUAAAAAUAUUUAUUAGCUACAAAAAGAGUAAUCACUUUUGAUUAUUCUGACAAAAAUGUUUUAAAAGUUUCACAUUGAAAAAUGUCAUCAAUGCUUCAAAAUCAUAAUACUUUAAAUUUAUAUAGUAUCAUAGUACUUCAAAACACUAUUUAAUACAUCACCCAUUAUCAACAAGCUUUAUGUAAGAGGCCACUUUAAGUGCUUUAACCUAUAUCUUUUCUGUUCCUUAAUUGUUCUACCUAUACUUAAUUAAAUUUCUGGUUUAUAUUUUUCCUCUUGCCAUGUAGUUGAAAAUGUGUCUAUUACUCUAGGAAAAAUUUAACUACCUGAUGCCAGGGUUCAGUCGUUACUGGGAGCAGCAGAGUUUUAGUAUUCAGGUCAUUUGAUGCUUCUCAAGAGCUAAAACAUAAUUAGGUAAUACUGAACCUGAUGACAGGUGAAAUAAAGCAUCCUUCAGUAUAGUCACUUCUAUAACACCCUGAAGAAUUACUCUCAUCCCAAUUGACCCAAUCAUGCGCUGUUCUGAAGAGGAUUCAACACAUUUGUCAGUUAUUCUUAAAUAAUCCCCUUAGUCCAGUUCCAAACCUUCAAGAUUGUAUCAUAUUUUUUGUUUCUAUAGAAACUUUAUUUCCAAUCUUAUCAAAAGUAUUGCUUAGGACUCUAAUCCAAAGCAAGCAUUAUUGAGCCACUUCUGCAUAAAAAGUGCACCUAUCACACAAUAAGAAAGCAAAUUUAGGGGAGCAAGAGGAAAACUGUCAAAUCACUGGCUUUCCAGAUAAGACAACUCUCAGUUUUAGUAAGAAACAAAAUGUGGAAUGAUCAACUCUGUCAAAAUUCAACUAGAAUGUUUUGGACAUUUGAAUAAAAUUGGCAGAUUUGAUCAUGCUUUUUAUUUUCAAAUUGUUUUUUGGGACUCAAAGCAAACAUUUGAAAUGUCAAGGACUUAAGCUAUUUGUUAACCAAUUUACAAAUAGGAGCCUAUAUAUCUUAUUUUGAAAAGAGUUACCUAAUAUAUUUUUUUAAAAAGCUAAUUAAUUUGUAAAUAUAUAUUCUUUUCUCCAAAACAAAAUUGCUCUCAUCUUAUGAUUUUCUACAAUACAGAAACAGUCUUUGAAUAUAUAACUGCCUAAAGGUUUUUACUUUUUUAUUUUUACUCAUCUAGAUAAAAAAUUCAAAACUAAUAUAUGAACUAUACUGCCCCUGUGCAGUGAAUGCUCCAAAAGAGCAAGUUUCUUAGAAUCAGUAGAAAUGCAAAUUUAAAGGGAAAAGCAAAUAAAAGUUGGAGCAGGGAUCGAAUCUUUAUGGAAUUACUGCAGCAGUUGGCAGAUAAGACAAUUAGGCCACAUCAGUAGAGAAACAAAUGCACAAACACAUGAAUCUUUGAUCAAUUAUCUAAAGUUGUUUCUCUUGAGAUCAUGAUGAACAAGCUUACAACAUCUGAUCAGAAAGAAUCCUAAAACAGCUACAAUCAUCCCUUGGUAUCUAUAGGGGAUUAUUUCCAGGACCUAUCUCAGAUAUCAAAAUCCGAGGAUGCUCAAGUCCCUGAAUUAAAAUGGCCUACUAUUUGCAUAUCACUUAUGCACAUUCUCCUGGAUACAUUAAAUCUCCCGUAGAUUACUUAUAAUAGUUAAUAUAGCAUCAAUGUUAUGUGAAUAGUUGUUAGUCUGUGUUCCUUAGGGAAUAAUGGCAAGAAAAAAAGUCUGUAUAUAUUGAGUACAGAUGCCUAUAUUUUGAUCCAUGUUUGGUUGAAUCCAAAGAUUUGGAACCCAUUAAUACAGAGGGUCAAUUAUACUAUGUUUUGGAAACCUAUCUUUUUUAUAUAAUUUACUUUUUAUUUUUUUUUUAAAAUAGACACAAGGUCUUGCUAUGUUGCCCCGGCUGGUAUUAAACUCCUGUGCUCAGGUGAUCUAUCUGCCUAGACCUCCCAAAGUGUUGUGAUUACAGGCAUGAUCCACCUUGCCUGGCCAAGGAACUUCUCUCUUUUGUCUUGUUUCCCUUAAGUUGGUUAUGCCUGUGGUUAUUGUUAGAGGGAAUUUCUUACUAAUUCUAAGUUUCUCUGGGAAAAUCAACUUUCUAUUCGUAAAAUGUUAAUUAAUUGC